AAAAUAAUUUCUGCUUCUAGAACAUUUAGAAAAUAUUCAGUAUUUUUGUUUUGCAACCAGUAAACAUGGCUAUCCAAACCUCACGCUGUUUUUCUUUCCCAGGCUGUUAUCAGUUGGCAGUUCUUUCAACGAAAUAUUUGUUGGCAGUUCUUUCAGUGGCUAAGAAUUUGGGCAUGGAUUUUUUUUAGAUGGCACGAUGAAUGCGCAUGGUUUUUUAGAUGACACGAUCAAUUUGGAACAGAUGGACGACUUAUGGAAAAGCAUGUGCUGCCGGAAGACAAUAGGUUGUAUUAUGCAAACAAUAGAUUUAAGAUUUGAUACCACUUCAUCUAUUAAUAAUAUGGAGCUGUGGCAGUGCUGGACUAGGCAGUCAAGUGAACGUAAAAUGUAAGGACUAUCUUUAUAUUACGUAAUAAGUUACGAAGGAUCAACGUUAUAACCUACCAAUGCCUAGCAACUUCAUUGCAGUUAAUUCUCAGACUACAUGACAGUGGUAAAUUCUGGGAUGGAUUUGUAUUCCAAGGCAACAGCUACAAUGUCUUCUCCUGUGGAAAGGGAACUCGUAUUGUUGCUAAAGUUAUGUUCGAGCAUUUCACAUUUGAAAGCUAUUAAAAUUAACUUAAAUGUGAAGGCUAAUUGGCAAGAGAAGCGAGAUACCUUAGGCACAAGACAUUUAUUAUCGGGUCUAAUUGGUGAAGGUGCUAGAAUUGCUGGAAACUAAUCUGAAGGCUGCUCGCAAUGUAUAGUGGAGAGGAUAAUUGGCAAAGGAAGUGGAUUUGUUGCCGUGGAGAUAUGAUUCAUGUCUCAUGCAAAGUGUGUUUUCAAGUUGUGACCAGAGGAGACAUGCCAACUCCCUUAUUUUUCGAGUUGUCCAUUAAUUUUAAUUUUACAAUUGAUCCGAUGCCAAAUGCUAUCUAAGCUCAUACUCCUUUUUUCUUU